GGGAAUUAGCUCAGCUGGUAGAGUGCUGCGAUCGCACCGCAGAGGUCAGGGGUUCGAAUC
rnacentral:tRNA from 1 species